GCAGUUGUGGCCGAGUGGUUAAGGCGAUAGACUAGAGAUCCAUUCGGGUCUCCCCGCACAGCUUCGAAUCCUGUCGACUGCG
rnacentral:tRNA from 1 species